UUGUGCCAGCCGCCGCGUAAUACGUAGGGUGCGAGCGUUGUCCGGAAUUAUUGGGCGUAAAGGGCUCGUAGGCGGUUUGUCGCGUCGGGAGUGAAAACUCAGGGCUUAACCCUGAGCCUGCUUCCGAUACGGGCAGACUAGAGGUAUGCAGGGGAGAACGGAAUUCCUGGUGUAGCGGUGAAAUGCGCAGAUAUCAGGAGGAACACCGGUGGCGAAGGCGGUUCUCUGGGCAUUACCUGACGCUGAGGAGCGAAAGUGUGGGGAGCGAACAGGGUUAGAUACCCUGGUAGUCCACACCGUAAACGUUGGGCGCUAGGUGUGGGACUCAUUCCACGAGUUCCGUGCCGCAGCUAACGCAUUAAGCGCCCCGCCUGGGGAGUACGGCCGCAAGUCUAAAACUCAAAGGAAUUGACGGGGGCCCGCACAAGGGGCGGGAGCAUGCGGGAUUAUUCCGAUGCAACGCGAAGAAACUUUAACCUUGGGUUUGACAUAUGCGAGAACCCUCUAAGAGAUAAGAGGGCUUCUUUUGGACACCUCGCAUACAGGGUGGGUGCAUGGGCUGUCGCCAGCCUCGUGUCGUGAGAUGGUUGGGGUUAAGUCCCCGCGAACGAGCGCAAACCCUCGUCUAUAUGGUGCCAAGCACGGUCAUGGGUGGGGACUUCAUAAGAGACUGGCCGGGGUCCACCUCGGGAGGAAAGGUGGGGGAAUGACGUCAAGUCAUCAUGCCCCCUUAAUGUCCAGGGGCUUCACGCAUGCUACAAUGGCCGGUACAAAGGCUGCGGAAUCGCAAGGAUGGAGCGAAUCCAAAAGCGUCUCAGUUCGAUGGCCUGCAACUCGACCCAUGAGUUCGAGUCGCUAGUAUCGCAGAUCAGCACGCUGCGUGAAAUACGUUCCGGGCCUGGA
rnacentral:rRNA from 1 species